AAUAGAUACCGGGUAGUCCACGCUGUAAACGAUGGAUACUAGGUGUAGGAGGUAUCGACCCCUUCUGUGCCGGAGUUAACACAAUAAGUAUCCCACCUGGGGAGCACGGCCGCAAGGUUGAAACUCAAAGGAAUUGACGGGGGCCCGCACAAGCAGUGGAGUAUGUGGUUUAAUUCGAAGCAACGCGAAGAACCUUACCAAGGUUUGACAUAAUAGUGAAUACGUCAGAGAUGGCGUAGCCCUUCGGGGCACUAUUACAGGUGGUGCAUGGUUGUCGUCAGCUCGUGUCGUGAGAUGUUGGGUUAAGUCCCGCAACGAGCGCAACCCCUGUCGUUAGUUGAUAACAUUCAGUUGAUCACUCUAGCGAGACUGCCGGUGAUAAAUCGGAGGAAGGUGGGGACGACGUCAAAUCAUCAUGCCCCUUAUGUCUUGGGCUACACACGUACUACAAUGGCUAUUACAGAGGGAAGCUAAGCUGCAAAGUGGAGCAAAUCCCCAAAAAUGUCCCAGUUCAGAUUGUGGGCUGCAACCCG
rnacentral:rRNA from 1 species